rnacentral:rRNA from 1 species
UACGGAGGAUGCAAGCGUUAUCCGGAAUGAUUGGGCGUAAAGCGUCCGCAGGUGGCUGUGUAAGUCUGCUGUUAAAGAGUGAGGCUCAACCUCAUAAGAGCAGUGGAAACUACACAGCUAGAGUGCGUUCGGGGCAGAGGGAAUUCCUGGUGUAGCGGUGAAAUGCGUAGAGAUCAGGAAGAACACCGGUGGCGAAGGCGCUCUGCUAGGCCGCAACUGACACUGAGGGACGAAAGCUAGGGGAGCGAAUGGG